GGAGUGGGUGGUCGAGUGGUACAAACUGUCGAUUUUUGAUAGCUACGACCCGGGUUCGAAUCCUGCUUUGGCCA